rnacentral:rRNA from 1 species
GAUGAACGCUGGCGGCGUGCCUAAUACAUGCAAGUCGAGCGAACGGACGAGAAGCUUGCUUCUCUGAUGUUAGCGGCGGACGGGUGAGUAACACGCGGAUAACCUACCUAUAAGACUGGGAUAACUUCGGGAAACCGGAGCUAAUACCGGAUAAUAUUUUGAACCGCAUGGUUCAAAAGUGAAAGACGGUCUUGCUGUCACUUAUAGAUGGAUCCGCGCUGCAUUAGCUAGUUGGUAAGGUAACGGCUUACCAAGGCAACGAUGCAUAGCCGACCUGAGAGGGUGAUCGGCCACACUGGAACUGAGACACGGUCCAGACUCCUACGGGAGGCAGCAGUAGGGAAUCUUCCGCAAUGGGCGAAAGCCUGACGGAGCAACGCCGCGUGAGUGAUGAAGGUCUUCGGAUCGUAAAACUCUGUUAUUAGGGAAGAACAUAUGUGUAAGUAACUGUGCACAUCUUGACGGUACCUAAUCAGAAAGCCACGGCUAACUACGUGCCAGCAGCCGCGGUAAUACGUAGGUGGCAAGCGUUAUCCGGAAUUAUUGGGCGUAAAGCGCGCGUAGGCGGUUUUUUAAGUCUGAUGUGAAAGCCCACGGCUCAACCGUGGAGGGUCAUUGGAAACUGGAAAACUUGAGUGCAGAAGAGGAAAGUGGAAUUCCAUGUGUAGCGGUGAAAUGCGCAGAGAUAUGGAGGAACACCAGUGGCGAAGGCGACUUUCUGGUCUGUAACUGACGCUGAUGUGCGAAAGCGUGGGGAUCAAACAGGAUUAGAUACCCUGGUAGUCCACGCCGUAAACGAUGAGUGCUAAGUGUUAGGGGGUUUCCGCCCCUUAGUGCUGCAGCUAACGCAUUAAGCACUCCGCCUGGGGAGUACGACCGCAAGGUUGAAACUCAAAGGAAUUGACGGGGACCCGCACAAGCGGUGGAGCAUGUGGUUUAAUUCGAAGCAACGCGAAGAACCUUACCAAAUCUUGACAUCCUUUGACAACUCUAGAGAUAGAGCCUUCCCCUUCGGGGGGCAAAGUGACAGGUGGUGCAUGGUUGUCGUCAGCUCGUGUCGUGAGAUGUUGGGUUAAGUCCCGCAACGAGCGCAACCCUUAAGCUUAGUUGCCAUCAUUAAGUUGGGCACUCUAAGUUGACUGCCGGUGACAAACCGGAGGAAGGUGGGGAUGACGUCAAAUCAUCAUGCCCCUUAUGAUUUGGGCUACACACGUGCUACAAUGGACAAUACAAAGGGCAGCGAAACCGCGAGGUCAAGCAAAUCCCAUAAAGUUGUUCUCAGUUCGGAUUGUAGUCUGCAACUCGACUACAUGAAGCUGGAAUCGCUAGUAAUCGUAGAUCAGCAUGCUACGGUGAAUACGUUCCCGGGUCU